rnacentral:sRNA from 1 species
GCUGGGUGUGGUGGUGCACGCCUAUAAUCCCAGCGGUUUGGGAGGCUGAGGUAGGAGGAUUGUGAGUUGAAAGCCAGCCUCAGCAACUUAGCAAGGCCGUAAGUAACUCAGUGAGAUGCUAUCUCUA